UGGGGAAUAUUGGACAAUGGGCGCAAGCCUGAUCCAGCCAUGCCGCGUGAGUGAUGAAGGCCCUAGGGUUGUAAAGCUCUUUCACCGGUGAAGAUAAUGACGGUAACCGGAGAAGAAGCCCCGGCUAACUUCGUGCCAGCAGCCGCGGUAAUACGAAGGGGGCUAGCGUUGUUCGGAUUUACUGGGCGUAAAGCGCACGUAGGCGGACUAUUAAGUUAGGGGUGAAAUCCCGGGGCUCAACCCCGGAACUGCCUUUGAUACUGGUAGUCUGGAGUUCGAGAGGGGUGAGUGGAAUUCCGAGUGUAGAGGUGAAAUUCGUAGAUAUUCGGAGGAACACCAGUGGCGAAGGCGGCUCACUGGCUCGAUACUGACGCUGAGGUGCGAAAGCGUGGGGAGCAAACAGG
rnacentral:rRNA from 1 species